GGGGUUGUGCCUGAAUAUAGGGCCACUUUGAUAGAGUGAAAUACGAGGGAGAAAACCCCUCCAACCCCU
rnacentral:tRNA from 1 species